rnacentral:pre_miRNA from 1 species
AUAUCAGUCACCUGGGGAUCUUUAUAAAAUGCAGAUUCUGGUUCAGAAUGAUUGGGCUGGGUCCCCAGAUUCUACAUUCUAACAAGCUCCCAAGUGACACUGGU